GAGUUCGUAGCUCAGUGGAUUAGAGCUCGCGUUUCCGAAGCGCGGCGUCGAGGGUUCGAUUCCCUCCGUACUCA
rnacentral:tRNA from 1 species